GACGAACGCUGGCGGCGGGCUUAACACAUGCGAGUCGAACGGAAAGGCCCUGCGUGCGUGGGGUGCUCGAGUGGCGAACGGGUGAGUAACACGUGAGUAACCUGCCCUUGACUUUGGGAUAACUUCAGGAAACGGGGGCUAAUACCGGAUAGGAGCUCCUGCUGCAUGGAGGGGGGUGGAAAGUUGCGGCGGGUGGGGAUGGACUGGCGGGUUAUCAGCUUGUUGGUGGGGUAGUGGCUUACCAAGGCUUUGACGGGUAGCCGGCCUGUGAGGGUGACCGGCCACAUUGGGACUGAGGUACGGACCAGACUCCUACGGGAGGCAGCAGUGGGGAAUAUUGCCCAAUGGGCGGAAGCCUGAUGCAGCAACGCCGCGUGCGGGAUGACGGCCUUCGGGUUGUAAACCGCUUUCGCCUGUGACGAAGCGGGAGUGACGGUAAUGGGUAAAGAAGCACCGGCUAACUACGUG
rnacentral:rRNA from 1 species